AAAUUGAAGAGUUUGAUCAUGGCUCAGAUUGAACGCUGGCGGCAGGCCUAACACAUGCAAGUCGAACGGUAACAGAAAUCAGCUUGCUGAUUUGCUGACGAGUGGCGGACGGGUGAGUAAUGUCUGGGAAACUGCCUGAUGGAGGGGGAUAACUACUGGAAACGGUAGCUAAUACCGCAUAACGUCGCAAGACCAAAGAGGGGGACCUUCGGGCCUCUUG
rnacentral:rRNA from 1 species